rnacentral:rRNA from 1 species
AACGAACGCUGGCGGCGUGCUUAACACAUGCAAGUCGAGCGGGAAAGUUUCCUUCGGGAAGCGAGUACAGCGGCAGACGGGUGAGUACGACGUAGGUAACCUACCCUCGAGACUGGGAUAACCUGUCGAAAGACGGGCUAAUACCGGAUAAGACCACAAGGGCUGCGGCCUUUGAGGUAAAGAUGGCCUCUGCUUGCAAGCUAUCACUUGGGGAUGGGCCUGCGCGCCAUUAGCAGUUGGUGAGGUAACGGCUCACCAAGGCAAAGAUGGCUAGCUGGUCUGAGAGGAUGGCCAGCCACACUGGGACUGAGACACGGCCCAGACUCCUACGGGAGGCAGCAGUGGGAAUAUUGCGCAAUGGGCGAAAGCCUGACGCAGCGACG